CACCUGGGAUUUAAAAGUAGCGGCGCUAAAAUUUAGAAGCCGUGGCACUAAAGCCGCGGCUAAACAUCUGUCGUGGCACCUGGGAUUUAAAAUUGUGGCGCUAAAAUUUAGAAGCCGUGGCACUAAAGCCGCAGCUAAAUAUUUGUCGUGGCACCUUGAAUUUAAAAGUAGCGGCGCUAAAAUUUAGAAGCCGUGGCACUAAAGAUCUGCCGUGGCACCUAGAAUUAUGACUAGUCGUUUCUUAUGGCUUCCAGUUUAACAUGCCAAAUAAAUGGAUCAGAUUGUUUACCAAAUUUAAAAUCAAGCAUAGUGAAACUAUGCUGAAAGCAGAACUAUAUUAUAAUUUCUCCGGAAUCCGGAUUAACGCAUUUGUUUAAAAAAAAAAUUUUUUUUAUUUGAAAGAAGUUUUGCUAAACACCAAGAAGUAAACAAGAAAGAAACUUUUACACCAAAUUGAAACACCGUAUUAUAGUGUGAACAUUUUACGAAACCAGAUUGGAUUUGAGGCAGAUUUCUAAUGGUAUUUCAGCAAGUGCAUCAAUGUUCGUGAAAACUCCUUCAAACAUGUUGUCACAAUAGAACAAUGGAAAUGUCCUGUUUGUCUUCUUCGUACUGCGUGUGAAAAUAAUCAAUCAACGUCGAGUCAAAGUUAUAAUAAAAAUGUUUGGUUGCCUCUAUGAGUCACAUCUCAUACACUGGUGCUAUUAAUAACUGUCUGUUAUUAAAUUUUAAAGGAAAAUAAU